GACAAACGCUGGCGGCGUGCUUAACACAUGCAAGUCGAACGGUAAGGCCCUUCGGGGUACACGCGUGGCGAACGGGUGAGUAACACGUGGGUGAUCUGCCCUGCACUUCGGGAUAAGCCUGGGAAACGGGGUCUAAUACCGGAUAGGACCACUGCCUGCAUGGGUGGAGGGGUAAAGCUUUUGCGGUGUGGGAUGGGCCCGCGGCCUAUCAGCUGGUUGGUGGGGUGAUGGCCUACCAAGGCGACGACGGGUAGCCGGCCUGAGAGGGUGACCGGCCACACUGGGACUGAGAUACGGCCCAGACUCCUACGGGAGGCAGCAGUGGGGAAUAUUGCACAAUGGGCGCAAGCCUGAUGCAGCGACGCCGCGUGAGGGAUGACGGCCUUCGGGUUGUAAACCUCUUUCAGCACCGACGAAGCGCAAGUGACGGUGGGUGCAGAAGAAGGACCGGCCAACUACGUGCCAGCCGCCGCCGUAAAAC
rnacentral:rRNA from 1 species